rnacentral:rRNA from 1 species
GGGUUGUGAGGUUAAGCGACUAAGCGUACACGGUGGAUGCCCUGGCAGUCAGAGGCGAUGAAGGACGUGCUAAUCUGCGAUAAGCGCCGGUAAGGUGAUAUGAACCGUUAUAACCGGCGAUUUCCGAAUGGGGAAACCCAGUGUGAUUCGUCACACUAUCAUUAACUGAAUCCAUAGGUUAAUGAGGCGAACCGGGGGAACUGAAACAUCUAAGUACCCCGAGGAAAAGAAAUCAACCGAGAUUCCCCCAGUAGCGGCGAGCGAACGGGGAGGAGCCCAGAGCCUGAAUCAGCAUGUGUGUUAGUGGAAGCGUCUGGAAAGGUGCGCGAUACAGGGUGACAGCCCCGUACACAAAAGCGCAUGUGCUGUGAGCUCGAUGAGUAGGGCGGGACACGUGGUAUCCUGUCUGAAUAUGGGGGGACCAUCCUCCAAGGCUAAAUACUCCUGACUGACCGAUAGUGAACCAGUACCGUGAGGGAAAGGCGAAAAGAACCCCGGCGAGGGGAGUGAAAAAGAACCUGAAACCGUGUACGUACAAGCAGUGGGAGCACAGGUUUACCUGUGUGACUGCGUACCUUUUGUAUAAUGGGUCAGCGACUUAUAUUCUGUAGCAAGGUUAACCGUAUAGGGGAGCCGUAGGGAAACCGAGUCUUAACCGGGCGUUAAGUUGCAGGGUAUAGACCCGAAACCCGGUGAUCUAGCCAUGGGCAGGUUGAAGGUUGGGUAACACUAACUGGAGGACCGAACCGACUAAUGUUGAAAAAUUAGCGGAUGACCUGUGGCUGGGGGUGAAAGGCCAAUCAAACCGGGAGAUAGCUGGUUCUCCCCGAAAGCUAUUUAGGUAGCGCCUCGUGAAUUCAUCUCCGGGGGUAGAGCACUGUUUCGGCUAGGGGGCCAUCCCGGCUUACCAACCCGAUGCAAACUGCGAAUACCGGAGAAUGUUAUCACGGGAGACACACGGCGGGUGCUAACGUCCGUCGUGAAGAGGGAAACAACCCAGACCGCCAGCUAAGGUCCCAAAGUCAUGGUUAAGUGGGAAACGAUGUGGGAAGGCCCAGACAGCCAGGAUGUUGGCUUAGAAGCAGCCAUCAUUUAAAGAAAGCGUAAUAGCUCACUGGUCGAGUCGGCCUGCGCGGAAGAUGUAACGGGGGCUAAACCAUGCACCGAAGCUGCGGCAGCGAACGUAUCACCCAAGACAACUUUACGGAGUUGACGAUUGACGGAGCGAAGCGACGUCAAAGCGUUCAUUAAAGUCGAGUUGGCUUAGGGAUACGUUCGUUGGGUAGGGGAGCGUUCUGUAAGCCUGUGAAGGUGUGUCGUGAGGCAUGCUGGAGGUAUCAGAAGUGCGAAUGCUGACAUAAGUAACGAUAAAGCGGGUGAAAAGCCCGCUCGCCGGAAGACCAAGGGUUCCUGUCCAACGUUAAUCGGGGCAGGGUGAGUCGACCCCUAAGGCGAGGCCGAAAGGCGUAGUCGAUGGGAAACGGGUUAAUAUUCCCGUACUUGGUGUUACUGCGAAGGGGGGACGGAGAAGGCUAUGUUGGCCGGGCGACGGUUGUCCCGGUUUAAGCGUGUAGGUGUGUGUUCCAGGUAAAUCCGGUUCACUUUAACACUGAGGCGUGACGACGAGGCACUACGGUGCUGAAGCAACAAAUGCCCUGCUUCCAGGAAAAGCCUCUAAGCAUCAGGUAACAUCAAAUCGUACCCCAAACCGACACAGGUGGUCAGGUAGAGAAUACCAAGGCGCUUGAGAGAACUCGGGUGAAGGAACUAGGCAAAAUGGUGCCGUAACUUCGGGAGAAGGCACGCUGACACGUAGGUGAAGUGAUUUACUCAUGGAGCUGAAGUCAGUCGAAGAUACCAGCUGGCUGCAACUGUUUAUUAAAAACACAGCACUGUGCAAACACGAAAGUGGACGUAUACGGUGUGACGCCUGCCCGGUGCCGGAAGGUUAAUUGAUGGGGUCAGCGCAAGCGAAGCUCCUGAUCGAAGCCCCGGUAAACGGCGGCCGUAACUAUAACGGUCCUAAGGUAGCGAAAUUCCUUGUCGGGUAAGUUCCGACCUGCACGAAUGGCGUAAUGAUGGCCAGGCUGUCUCCACCCGAGACUCAGUGAAAUUGAACUCGCUGUGAAGAUGCAGUGUACCCGCGGCAAGACGGAAAGACCCCGUGAACCUUUACUAUAGCUUGACACUGAACAUUGAGCCUUGAUGUGUAGGAUAGGUGGGAGGCUUUGAAGUGUGGACGCCAGUCUGCAUGGAGCCGACCUUGAAAUACCACCCUUUAAUGUUUGAUGUUCUAACGUGGACCCGUAAUCCGGGUUGCGGACAGUGUCUGGUGGGUAGUUUGACUGGGGCGGUCUCCUCCUAAAGAGUAACGGAGGAGCACGAAGGUUGGCUAAUCCUGGUCGGACAUCAGGAGGUUAGUGCAAUGGCAUAAGCCAGCUUGACUGCGAGCGUGACGGCGCGAGCAGGUGCGAAAGCAGGUCAUAGUGAUCCGGUGGUUCUGAAUGGAAGGGCCAUCGCUCAACGGAUAAAAGGUACUCCGGGGAUAACAGGCUGAUACCGCCCAAGAGUUCAUAUCGACGGCGGUGUUUGGCACCUCGAUGUCGGCUCAUCACAUCCUGGGGCUGAAGUAGGUCCCAAGGGUAUGGCUGUUCGCCAUUUAAAGUGGUACGCGAGCUGGGUUUAGAACGUCGUGAGACAGUUCGGUCCCUAUCUGCCGUGGGCGCUGGAGAACUGAGGGGGGCUGCUCCUAGUACGAGAGGACCGGAGUGGACGCAUCACUGGUGUUCGGGUUGUCAUGCCAAUGGCACUGCCCGGUAGCUAAAUGCGGAAGAGAUAAGUGCUGAAAGCAUCUAAGCACGAAACUUGCCCCGAGAUGAGUUCUCCCUGAGACUUAGAGUCUCCUGAAGGAACGUUGAAGACGACGACGUUGAUAGGCCGGGUGUGUAAGCGCAGCGAUGCGUUGAGCUAACCGGUACUAAUGAACCGUGAGGCUUAACCUUACAACGCCGAAG